CAGCAGCCUAAGCCAUGGGGGGGGGCAGGUUUAUGAAGCAGGGCUCCAGCAGCAGCCUCAGCUGUGGGGGACAGAUUUAUUAAGCACCCUGAACUUCUCAAUGGGGGACAGGUUUAUGAAGCACCCUGCACUUCUCAAUCUCACAGCAACAGUAGAUCAACAUGACCUCCAGCAGCAGCCUCAGCCAUGGGGGACAGGUUUAUGAAGCAAUCUGGGCUCUAGCAGCAGCCUCAGCCAUGGGGGACAGGUUUAUGAAGCACGCUGAACUUCUCAAUCUCACAGCAACAGUAGAUCAACAUGACCUCCAGCAACAGCCUCAGCCAUGGGGGACAGGUUUAUGAAGCACCCUGAACUUCUCAAUCUCACAGCAACAGUAGAUCAACAUGACCUCCAGCAGCAGCCUCAGCCAUGGCGGACAGGUUUAUGAAGCACCCUGAACUUCUCAAUCUCACAGCAACAGUAGAUCAACAUGACCUCUAGCAGCAGCCUCAGCCAUGGGGGACAGGGGCUCUAGCAGCAGCCUCAGCUGUGGGGGACAGGGGCUCCAGCAGCAGCCUCAGCCGUGGGGAACAGCAAUCUGGGCUCUAGCAGCAGCCUCAGCCGUGGGGGACAGGUUUAUGAAGCACCAUGAACUUCUCAAUCUCACAGCAACAGUUGAUCAACAUGACCUCUAGCAGCAGCCUCAGCCGUGGGGGACAGGUUUAUGAAGCAAUCUGGGCUCUAGCAGCAGCCUCAGCCGUGGGGGACAGGUUUAUAAAGCACCCUGCACUUCUCAAUCUCACAGCAACAGUAGAUCAACAUGACCUCCAGCAGCAGCCUCAGCCAUGGGGGACAGGUUUAUGAAGCAAUCUGGGCUCUAGCAGCAGCCUCAGCCAUGGGGGACAGGUUUAUGAAGCACCAUGAACUUCUCAAUCUCACAGCAACAGUAGAUCAACAUGACCUCUAGCAGCAGCCUCAGCCAUGGGGGACAGGGGCUCUAGCAGCAGCCUCAGCCAUGGGGGACAGGAUAAUGAAGCACCAUGAACUUCUCAAUCUCACAGCAACAGUAGAUCAACAUAACCUGAAAGCGGUUCCUGUUCAGUGUCUAACAGUAGUCUAAUGACCAAGCCACGCCAGCAAAGCAGUAAUAAUAGCAGUCAAGUCGAGGAUCACCCAAAACCACUUGGUGCCUAGCGAUAAUUUUUUCUGCUACCAACUUGACCUGGUUAUUGUACUCACGUGGGAGUCAGGUUUAAGGUCACAAUAGGUUUAAAGGCUAAAAUCAGCAUAUAUGGUCAUGGUAGUAAGAAAAUUUAAGAUAAUAAAGGGACUUGUUAACCAACUUGAUGACCAAGUUAUUUAAUAUUGUUCCAAAUGUAUCUUUAAAGGAAAUGACUGCAAUACAGGGCAUCAUAAGAAAAUCUACAUACUUUCCCCUUUAAAUGUGUAAAAUUAACAAUAAACAAAAUGACUACAAAACAGGCAUUUACAAGAACAUCUUUGAACAUUUUCCUUUAAGUAUUGCUCAAUCUUUCUCAGUGAACAAAAUGUAUGCAGAAAGAAAAACUUUGUCUCUAUAAAGAUUGCUUACUAUGUUUUUACUGCAAACGGAUUUAUUACAGAACAGGAAUGUAUCUUUUAACAUUAUCGUUGAAAUUUCUCAACCAUUUGCAGUUAACAACAUGACUGCACAAUAUGGCAUCAAUGGCAAAGAAGAAGUGAUCAGAGGGGGUUAUAACAUGCAAGUCAAGAAGGCGACGUCCAUGACGAGACUGAAAACCCUGAUUGCAAAAUGCAGAGUCUGCUCCGGAAGCAUUUGCAGACACAGAACAUGAACCCGCUGCAGUCAUCGUCUUCAGUUUAUAUCAUCUCUAUGGUGCAGGACCCUCAGUCUGUGAACACAGGGAACCUUCGACGCCAAUGACGAAAUCAAACCAUCCAAUCAGAAACACAUCCUGUUGCAGCAGUUAUUACCAUAUUGACCCCAGUCAAACAAAAGAAGCUCAGAGAUAAAUACUGUUUAUGGUGUUCUAGUCUCUACAUACCUUGUGGUAUGUUGAGCACGUACUCUGACAGGUUUCAUCUUAUAAUUGUUUGACUGGUGGAAAAUAAAUGACCUUGUUCAAGUCGAAAUGUCAGAAUAACAAUUGAUAAUUCAAAUGCCAAAAAGUCAUAUCAACAGCCACAUUUGUUAUGUGACCAGCAAAGUUGUAUUCAAAGAGACACAAUAGUUUACUUUAUAUUUUCUUGUGACCAACCAAGUUGUAUUUAAUGAAAAACAAUAGUUUAUGUUUUAUGGGAAUUAUAAUGCUGUCAGUCAUGUUAUGUUGGACGUUUUAGUUAAAUAUAGUAUGUUACAAAAUGUAUAAUUUGAAGCACACAUAUUGCAGGUAUAUCCAAUGUCUGUGUCUGUAUCAUGAACCUUUCACUUCAGAUUUUGAUCUGGAUAUGGUAAAUUUAAGGGAAAUACAAUCAUAACAAAGUUAUUUUAAGAUUGUCAAAGCUGUUUAAAAGUUUAUGGUAACUUGGACACAAUUGAAAAUAUAUUGGCGUAUUGUCCAUGUUUCAGUUUUCUGUUUUACCAGUAAUAUAGAUGUGCUCAUUAAAAUAAUUCUUCAAAGAGGUUGAGAGUUAUGAAACUUCAGCUUUUCUGUAUAUCAAUCUUUCUGAACACAAUACUUGUCAAUUUGCUCAUUCGGUCGGUAUUUGAUCCAAAAUCUUGUUAAGUAGCAUACUAUUUCAAGGGAAUAUAAAUUAAUUUUGGGAAAAAGUGUUUAAUCUACUUAAAUUAAUUGAUUCUUUGUUUACCACCAGUACUUUGUUGAUUUCAAUUGCUAUGGUUUGCUAAAUAAUUAAAGCAUGACUGUUGUUUUAUUUGGAAAGCUUUUAAUAAAACUCAGAAUUAAAAACAAUAUUUAAAAAAAAAGAUGAGUUUUAUGAAAAAUGGCACAUUUUUAUGUUUGUUAAUUUGUGUAGUAAGAUCAUAGACUUACAUGCUCAUAAGUGUUAACAUUCGAUUUUGGAUGUUAAAGUUUAUAAUGCUUUAUAUAUGCAUAUGUAGAUUUACACAACCAGAUUGCACCUUCUUAAAUCAGUGAGUAAUUUAACCCAGAUUUCUUGAUAACUGUUUAUAGGUAUAUUUUGCCAUUUAUACAUAGAGCAACUGCAAAGCGAUUGUAUUUUCGAUGUAAAUCAUUCAUUUAGUGUUGCAAUUGUUUAAGAUAAACUCACUGUUUACAUUUAUUUGUACACACCAUUGUUAUAAAACAACAUUGCUUGUGUAAAUGCACAUAUAUGUAUAAAAACUGUUUAAUAAUGCAGCAUUAAAUAUUCUGAAGAGCAAAGGAUAUUUACGGCAAUAGAAACACCUUGUUAUAUGCUAUGCUUUUCAGCGAAUGAAUUUGAGCAACUAUUAAAAUGAAUUUAUUUCUUCUUUAAAUUUAACUAAAUACAACGAUAGUACCUUGAAAUUAGAAAUGAGUCAAUUACAAAAUAAGGGAGAGUGAUGUCAUAUGUUAACAAUUGUCAGGCAUAGCAAUUGCCUCUAUUGGUAAUAUAACAGAGCAAUAUUAUUUGCUUAAACAAUACAAAUUAAGAUGUCUUUUUUUGUUAGAUAAUAAUUGUGUUUACAACUCGAUAUAACGAGUAAAUACAUACAGAAUUUCAAAUUAUUUCGCAAUAUAUACUCGGCAAUAAGUGAAAGUCUAAAAGGAUUUUGUGGAAUAAACAAUUUGCAAAUUAUUUGCUUGUUUCGUGAAGUAAUAGUUAAGGUAAAAUGUGGUACUUAUUGUUACACAAACACAAUGUGUAAUAACAAAAUGCAUCAGUAAUGACCUUUAUUAAAAUUCCUUAAAUUUACAUGACUACUCAGUGCUUUGAGUUUUGUAAUUGUGACGAUUAUAAGUGAAUAUUCUGCAAAAAAUACCUCUAUACGAAAUGUGUAUAUUUCAAUAAUAAUGGUAUACUUGUAUGCAAAGUACUUGAAUAGUUUUGAUGUAUUGCUGAUAAAGAAUUGUGUAAUUGUACUAGUCCUAUUCCAGUUUGUGUAACGUUGACCGUUCAACAUAAGCUGUCAGUGGAGUGAAUUCACUGGGGCCAGUUUCUGUAAAUCUUCCGAUUUAAAAUUGCAGCAUACAUGUAUGUCUUAAAUCCAGAUUUACAUAACAGUGUGGUUGUUUAUCUUGAAUUUGUAUUGAAUGCAUAAAACAUGUUUGUUCUGUUGUUGAACAACUGAAGAUAGCUUUAAAUGUGUUCAUUGUGUUUCAUUUUUAGAUAUAUCAAAUUGAUACAUAGAAAACAAAAUACAAAAUGUGCAAUAAUUGGUAUGCAUGUUUAGCCCAAAAAAUGUUAUCAUACAAGCAUAUAAGUAUUGGACUAUAUGAUACUGUAAGAUGAAAUGUUUAAAUCACGUCUUGAUUUGUUCAUCUACUUUAAGUAAACAUUUUUCAUUAGUAGAUAUUGGUUGUAUAAACUCUAUUGAAACUGCCCCCAAUGAAUUUUAAUUGCUUUUGUAAAUAUAUUCAAUAUGUAACAUUAUUGUUAAUGGUAUGUUUAUAGUUAAAGUGUAAAUGUUUCUCUAAACUGUAACCGGGUGUCUGUUUAAUUUAUUGAGAUGUGUUUAUAUUGUCCGGCUUAUUAAAUUAAAUAUUGUGCAAAUUGUCGCAUUGUGGUUGUUGUGAUAAAAACAAAGCACUUUCCACUACUCAUGUUUGUUUUGGUUCACUAUUUUUAUAACCAGUGUUUUGUCCGUAGAAGUUACAGUAUACUAAAUAUUUUAGUUUUGCAAUUUCUUUUCUCUUAAACAGCCAAUACCAUUUAUUGGAUGACGUAGUUGUUUGCAUAGGAAUUUAAGCUUAAUAAACGUCUAUAACAAAACUUAAAAGUACAUUCAGACUAUAUCGAUAAACAAGACAUAUCAUUUAAAAAGAAAUUCGGCGUAUAUCCUAACUUUGAAAUGCAGGUAGAAAAUUGACGUGUGUGUGUGUUAUUUAAUUAAAAACAAAGGUUUA